rnacentral:rRNA from 1 species
CCUACGGGGAGCAGCAGUCGAGAAUUAUUCACAAUGGGGGAAACCCUGAUGGUGCGACGCCGCGUGGGGGAAUGAAGGUCUUCGGAUUGUAAACCCCUGUCAUGUGGGAGCAAAUUAAAAAGAUAGUACCACAAGAGGAAGAGACGGCUAACUCUGUGCCAGCAGCCGCGGUAAUACAGAGGUCUCAAGCGUUGUUCGGAAUCACUGGGCGUAAGGCGUGCGUAGGCUGUUUCGUAAGUCGUGUGUGAAAGGCGCGGGCUCAACCCGCGGACGGCACAUGAUACUGCGAGACUAGAGUAAUGGAGGGGGAACCGGAAUUCUCGGUGUAGCAGUGAAAUGCGUAGAUAUCGAGAGGAACACUCGUGGCGAAGGCGGGUUCCUGGACAUUAACUGACGCUGAGGCACGAAGGCCAGGGGAGCGAAAGGGAUUAGAUACCCCUGUAGUC